rnacentral:lncRNA from 1 species
GACCGUGCAGCUCAGACCAGGGCAGGGCAGAAGGAAAAGCAGCAGGCCACCCAGGAGGGGGGUCAGGGUGGGAGAGGCGCAGGAGUGGCUCCUGGGGUAAGCCACAAGCCCGGUCUUUGGCUCUCCCAGUGAGGAAUUUCCUCCCCUGCACCGCUGCCCAGCCCCUCUCCCCACCCCCCAACUCCCACCCGCCGAAACCAACACACAGUCCUGGAGCUAGGGGCACCUCCUGGGAUCCCUGAAAUGAGGGGCUCUGCCACCCGACCCAGUGCUGCCGGGCCUUGGAGGAGGGGGUCGAGGGCAAGCCCCACUCACGGACAGGCAGGAACGGCUCGGCAGGGCCCUGCCCAAGACAAGGGAGUAGGGAGGGAGAAGACCUCAGUCCCAGACAGUGGCCCCCACUGAGGUCUGGAAGGAGGGGAGCGCCUGGGAAUCCUACUUCCUUUUGGGGUCUGGUGGGGCCCCAGUUCCCUGGCCUCGGCCUCGGGCGACUUCCCAAGAGACCAGGAUAUUGUGCUUUGGCAUCCACCCUGGGGCCAGGUCAGGACGCGGGGGCGGGAGAGAGGAGACUAAGGUGCUUGUGCUUUAGCUGGAGAUGUUGACUCCGUCACACACGCGGGUCGGGCCGCUAGGGGCCGAAGGGCCAGGGCCGGGCAGCCCAGCGGAGCGCCAGGACCCCAGCCCGACCCGACACCCCAGCCCCGCAACAAGCAGGUGCCAGAAGGCACCCAGCCCUGCAGGCUGGCAGGGCUGCUGGUCGGAGGGAGGCCUCUCCGUCAGGUUCCAAGGGUCCAGAGCGGGCGGGCCCCCACCCCGCAACCCCCUGUCUCUGGAGAGAGAGCCCGCUGGGCUCCAACGGCCAGUCAGCCAGGGAGGAGACGAGAGGCGAAACUGUGAAUGCCAGAGGACAUUGUGAUGACAGCUUUAAAGUGCUGAAACAAAAAUCUCCAACUUAGAAUUCUGCAUUUCUCAAGAACAGCCUUCAAAAGAUGAAGAUGAAAGAUGUGUUCAGACGAACAAAAACUGAGGGAGUUCAUCAGCUGCGCACCAGCACUGUGAGAAGCACUAGGGGAGGCUCUUCAGACUGGAGGAAAAUUAUCCCAGCUAGAAGCACAGAACCACAGGAAGAAAUGAAGGUAUGAAGGCCUUCUUGAAGAUCCUCUGUAGGGGAGGUCUUGUGGCUACAAACUCCCUUAGCUUUGGCUUAUCUGGGAAAGUUGUUAUUUCUCCAUCAUAUCUGAAGUCUAUUUUCACUGAAUAGAGUAUUCUUGGCUGAAAGAUUUUGUCCUUCAAAGAUUUGAAUAUGUCAUUCCAGUCUUUCCUAGCCUGUAAGUUUUCUGCAGAGAAAUCUGGUGAAAGUCUGAUAGAGGUUUCUUUGUAGGUUAUGUUCUUCUGCCUUGCUGCCCUUAGUAUUUUUUCUUUGUCAUUGACUUUUGCCAGUUUCACUACUAUAUGCCUUGCAGUAGGUCUUUUUACACUGGCAUAUUUAGAAGAUCUGAUAGGCUCUUUCAUGUGGAUUUCCAUCUCCUUCCCCAGGUUUGGGAAGUUCUCUGCUAUUAUUACUUUGAACAAGCUUUCUGUUCCAUUCUCCUUCUUUUCUCUCUCUUGAAUAUCUAUAAUUCUUAUGUUGCAUUUCCUAAUUGAGUUGGAUAUUUCUCAGAGAUUUUCUUCAUUUCUUUUUAGUCUUAGUUCUCUCUACUCCUCUGUCUGGAGCAUUUCAAUAUGUCUAUCCUUGAUUAUGCUGAUUCACUCCACUAUGAUGUUGCUCAAACAUUCAGAGAAUCCAAAUUUUGUUUUAUCUCAUCGAUUGUGUCUUUCAUCUCUAAUAUUUCUGAUUGGUUCUUCUUUAUAGUUUCAAUCUCUUUUGUGAAGUAGCUCCUGAACUCGUUGAAUUGUUUCUCUACAUUUUUUUGUAACUCAUUGAGUUUUUUGAUGAUAGCUAUUUUGAAGUCUCUGUCAUUUAGAUUACAUAUUUCUGUGUCUUCAGGACUGAUUUCUGGGUACUUGUCAUUUUCUCUCUGGUCUGGAGAUGUAAUAUAAUUUUUGAUUCUGCUAGAGGGCGUGGCAUUGUUCUUUCACAUCAUGGUAUUAUUUGGUCACACUUACUGCUUACCACUGGGUGGGGGUCAAGAACUGCAUUUUCUGAGCCCUCUGACUUCUGCCAGGAUCCCAGGUGCUGGAGCUGGUGCUAGGUGGGGAGGGGGAGGGGUGCUUUCUUCAUUGUUCUCUUGGGGUUUUCUCACUCUGCCCUCGAUAUCUGCUCUCCUGGGGUAUUGGCUUGAUGAAGUCACCCCUGUGAUAGCUUUCACCUGGGUAGGGAGCUUUCCCCUAGGCUGCAAAGGACCUUGGGGAACUUUGAUGUUCCUGCAAAUGGGCAUCCCCUCCCCUUUUCCUUCCCUCUUGGAGACUGCACAGUCCCAGAUCACAGUCUUUUGGGGAGGGAGCGAAGUUUUCUCUUACCCCAUUCCACCUCCUCCAAGGGGGACUCCAGCCUCUCCACCCUCCCAUGUAUGAUUGUGUUGGUCUUUUGUGUUGUGUGGAUGUCCUCUGCUGGAGGAUAAAUGUCUUUUUCACUGUGUCAUGGAGGGAAGAGAUCACUGGGAGAGCUCACUUAACCAUGAUGCUGAUGUCACUCUCUGGGUAAAAUUUUUAAAGUAAUGUUCUGUAAAGUCUGUAACACAUAUAGAAGUAACUGUGUAUGAAUACAACCCAAAAAAUCUAAUGGUACUGCCUAAAUAUUUUUCAUUUGUCUUAUUAAUAAAUGUUAAUACAAAUUUGGGAAGAUUUUAUUAUUUCAAAUAACUGAAAGUAUUUAAUAAUGUUAAUUUCAUAUUUUCUUCAUUGUUG